UACCGCAUAACGUCGCAAGACCAAAGAGGGGGACCUUCGGGCCUCUUGCCAUCGGAUGUGCCCAGAUGGGAUUAGCUAGUAGGUGGGGUAACGGCUCACCUAGGCGACGAUCCCUAGCUGGUCUGAGAGGAUGACCAGCCACACUGGAACUGAGACACGGUCCAGACUCCUACGGGAGGCAGCAGUGGGGAAUAUUGCACAAUGGGCGCAAGCCUGAUGCAGCCAUGCCGCGUGUAUGAAGAAGGCCUUCGGGUUGUAAAG
rnacentral:rRNA from 1 species